rnacentral:rRNA from 1 species
UGCCCCAGUAACGGCGAGUGAAGCGGCAACAGCUCAAAUUUGAAAUCUGGCUCUCGGGCCCGAGUUGUAAUUUGUAGAGGAUGCUUUUGGUGAGGUGCCUUCCGAGUUCCCUGGAACGGGACGCCAUAGAGGGUGAGAGCCCCGUCUGGUUGGACACCGAUCCUCUGUAAAGCUCCUUCGACGAGUCGAGUAGUUUGGGAAUGCUGCUCUAAAUGGGAGGUAUAUGUCUUCUAAAGCUAAAUACCGGCCAGAGACCGAUAGCGCACAAGUAGAGUGAUCGAAAGAUGAAAAGAACUUUGAAAAGAGAGUUAAACAGUACGUGAAAUUGUUGAAAGGGAAGCGCUUGUGACCAGACUUGGGCUUGGUUGAUCAUCCGGGGUUCUCCCCGGUGCACUCUUCCGGCUCAGGCCAGCAUCAGUUCGCCCUGGGGGACAAAGGCUUCGGGAAUGUGGCUCUCUCCGGGGAGUGUUAUAGCCCGUUGCGUAAUACCCUGUGGCGGACUGAGGUUCGCGCAUUCGCAAGGAUGCUGGCGUAAUGGUCAUCAGUGACCCGUCUUGAAACACGGACCAAGGAGUCGUCUUCGUAUGCGAGUGUUCGGGUGUCAAACCCCUACGCGAAAUGAAAGUGAACGCAGGUGAGAGCUUCGGCGCAUCAUCGACCGAUCCUGAUGUUAUCGGAUGGAUUUGAGUAAGAGCAUACGGGGCCGGACCCGAAAGAAGGUGAACUAUGCCUGUGUAGGGUGAAGCCAGAGGAAACUCUGGUGGAGGCUCGCAGCGGUUCUGACGUGCAAAUCGAUCGUCAAACAUGGGCAUGGGGGCGAAAGACUAAUCGAACCUUCUAGUAGCUGGUUUCCGCCGAAGUUUCCCUCAGGAUAGCAGUGUUGAACUCAGUUUUAUGAGGUAAAGCGAAUGAUUAGGGACUCGGGGGCGCUAUUUAGCCUUCAUCCAUUCUCAAACUUUAAAUAUGUAAGAAGCCCUUGUUGCUUAAU